rnacentral:rRNA from 1 species
AUGAACGCUAGCGACAGGCUUAACACAUGCAAGUCGAGGGGCAGCGGUGGAGAGAGCUUGCUCUCUUCAGCCGGCGACCGGCGCACGGGUGAGUAACACGUAUGCAACCUGCCCUUGACACUGGGAUAACCCGGAGAAAUCCGGACUAAUACCGGGCGACACCUUCGGAGGGCAUCCUCCUUAGGUCGAAGGAAGCGAUUCCGGUCAAGGAUGGGCAUGCGGCGCAUUAGCUAGUUGGCGGGGUAACGGCCCACCAAGGCAACGAUGCGUAGGGGUUCUGAGAGGAAGGUCCCCCACAUUGGUACUGAGACACGGACCAAACUCCUACGGGAGGCAGCAGUGAGGAAUAUUGGUCAAUGGGCGCGAGCCUGAACCAGCCAAGUCGCGUGAGGGAAGACGGCCCUACGGGUUGUAAACCUCUUUUGUCGGGGAGCAAGGACUGCCACGUGUGGCAGGGCGAGAGUACCCGAAGAAAAAGCAUCGGCUAACUCCGUGCCAGCAGCCGCGGUAAUACGGAGGAUGCGAGCGUUAUCCGGAUUUAUUGGGUUUAAAGGGUGCGUAGGCGGAAGUUCAAGUCAGCGGUAAAAUCGAGGGGCUCAACCCCUUUAAGCCGUUGAAACUGGGUUUCUUGAGUGGGCGAGAAGUGUGCGGAAUGUGUGGUGUAGCGGUGAAAUGCAUAGAUAUCACACAGAACUCCGAUUGCGAAGGCAGCACACCGGCGCCCAACUGACGCUGAGGCACGAAAGCGUGGGGAUCAAACAGGAUUAGAUACCCUGGUAGUCCACGCAGUAAACGAUGAACACUAGGUGUGCGGGUCGAAUGAGAUCUGCGUGCCACAGCGAAAGCGUUAAGUGUUCCACCUGGGGAGUACGCCGGCAACGGUGAAACUCAAAGGAAUUGACGGGGGCCCGCACAAGCGGAGGAACAUGUGGUUUAAUUCGAUGAUACGCGAGGAACCUUACCCGGGCUCAAACGGCAGAGGAAAGUUUUUGAAAGGAGGCUGCUCUACGGAGCCUCUGCCGAGGUGCUGCAUGGUUGUCGUCAGCUCGUGUCGUGAGAUGUUGGGUUAAGUCCCGCAACGAGCGCAACCCUUGUUACUAGUUGCCAGCAUUAAGUUGGGCACUCUAGUGAGACUGCCGGUGACAAACCGGAGGAAGGUGGGGACGACGUCAAAUCAUCAUGCCCCUUAUGUCCUGGGCUACACACGUGUUACAAUGGCAGGUACAGCGGGAAGCCACCGAGCGAUCGGGAGCAGAACCCGAAAACCUGUCUCAGUUCGGAUUGGAGUCUGCAACUCGACUCCAUGAAGCUGGAUUCGCUAGUAAUCGCGCAUCAGCCAUGGCGCGGUGAAUACGUUCCCGGGCCUUGUACACACCGCCCGUCAAGCCAUGGAAGCCGGGGGUGCCUGAAGUGCGCGACCGCAAGGAGCGCCCUAAGGUAAAACCGGUGACUGGGGCU